rnacentral:rRNA from 1 species
AUUGAACGCUGGCGGCAGGCCUAACACAUGCAAGUCGAGCGGAUGACGGGAGCUUGCUUCUUGAUUCAGCGGCGGACGGGUGAGUAAUGCCUAGGAAUCUGCCUGGUAGUGGGGGACAACGUUUCGAAAGGAACGCUAAUACCGCAUACGUCCUACGGGAGAAAGCAGGGGACCUUCGGGCCUUGCGCUAUCAGAUGAGCCUAGGUCGGAUUAGCUAGUUGGUGAGGUAAUGGCUCACCAAGGCGACGAUCCGUAACUGGUCUGAGAGGAUGAUCAGUCACACUGGAACUGAGACACGGUCCAGACUCCUACGGGAGGCAGCAGUGGGGAAUAUUGGACAAUGGGCGAAAGCCUGAUCCAGCCAUGCCGCGCGUGUGAAGAAGGUCUUCGGAUUGUAAAGCACUUUAAGUUGGGAGGAAGGGCAGUAAGUUAAUACCUUGCUGUUUUGACGUUACCGACAGAAUAAGCACCGGCUAACUCUGUGCCAGCAGCCGCAGUAA